rnacentral:tRNA from 1 species
UGCAGUGUGGUGUAGUGGUUAAGAGCGGUGGACUCGUAAUCUGGUGCACCGGGUUCGAUUCCCUGCUCCACAUGCAG